CUCCUGAGGGUUUUGCUUAGGAAUUUAAAAUGAUUUUCUCUAAGGAGAAGAGAAAGCAGAGAGAUUCUUUAGGCAAAGAAGUCAAAAGGGUGUCUGAAAGAUUUGAUAUUUUUUUUGUUCUCUUUCUCUCUCUAUAUCUCAGAAAGAAAGGAGAAAGUGAGAGAGAUGAAGUUAAAGAGAAGCUUAGAAGAAGAGAGAGAAGUUGAGUGAUGAUCUUCUUGAAGAAACAAACAUGCUCAAAGUAAGACGCAGAGAGAGAGAAAAAGAAGGAAGAGAGAGAUAGAGAGAGGUAUGUGUGUUGUGAAGCAAAGGCAGAAGAGAAAAAAGGAAUAAAACUAAAUCCAGGAAAAUUAAAAACAGGUAAGAGAGAGAGAUAUAUGUGUGUUCGUUCAUGUACAUGUAUGUGUAUGUGUAUGUGUGAGAUGUUGUUCCUCG